CGAAAGCCUGACGGAGCAACGCCGCGUGUGGGAAGAAGGCCUUUGGGCUGUCAACCACUUUUCUCAGGGAAGAAGUUCUGACGGUACCUGAGGAAUCAGCCUCGGCUAACUCCGUGCCAGCAGCCGCGGUAAUACGGAGGAGGCAAGCGUUAUUCGGAAUUAUUGGGCGUAAAGCGUUCGUAGGCGGCUGUUCAAGUCUGCUGUCAAAGACCGAGGCUCAACCUCGGGUCGGCAGUGGAAACUGGAUAGCUAGAGGUCGGUAGGGGCAAAGGGAAUUCCCAGUGUAGCGGUGAAAUGCGUAGAUAUUGGGAAGAACACCGGUGGCGAAAGCGCUCUACUGGGUCGCACCUGACCCUCAGGGACGAAAGCUAAGGUAGCG
rnacentral:rRNA from 1 species